GUAGCAACACUUUUUUUCAAGGUCUCCCUAAACUCUUUUUUUUUUGACUCUCAGGAAUACCAGAUUUGACACUCAUUAUGUAAAGUUUGGAAAACAAAUUGGCUGUUGAUGAAUUUCUGAAUGCUGGAGAUGGUGAAAGGUACUUCUGGGUGAACGAUCCUGAAGUACUGGUCCAAGGAGAUGCCCAUGGUCUGGAGGCCAGAGUUGGGAGCAAGAGGA